rnacentral:rRNA from 1 species
UACGUAGGGUGCAGGCGUUAAUCGGAAUUACUGGGCGUAAAGCGUGCGCAGGCGGUUUGCUAAGACAGGUGUGAAAUCCCCGGGCUUAACCUGGGAACUGCGCUUGUAACUGGCAAGCUAGAGUGUGGCAGAGGGGGGUGGAAUUCCAGGUGUAGCAGUGAAAUGCGUAGAGAUGUGGAGGAACACCGAUGGCGAAGGCAGCCUCCUGGGCCAGCACUGACGCUCAUGCACGAAAGCGUGGGGAGCAAACAGG